rnacentral:rRNA from 1 species
UACGUAGGGGGGCUAGCGUUGUCCGGAUUUAUUGGGCGUAAAGAGCGUGUAGGCGGCCAGGUAGGUCUGGUGUGAAAACUCGAGGCUUAACCUCGAGAUGUCAUCGGAAACCAUUUGGCUAGAGUCCGGAAGAGGAGAGUGGAAUUCCUGGUGUAGCGGUGAAAUGCGCAGAUAUCAGGAAGAACACCAAUGGCGAAAGCAGCUCUCUGGGACGGUACUGACGCUGAGACGCGAAAGCGUGGGGAGCGAACAGG